rnacentral:lncRNA from 1 species
AAAAGCAUGGCUUGCACAGAAAAAGUCCUUAGCUAUACUAAUUUUCCUGUUUAAUCUUUUUUUAAAAUUUUUAUUUAAUUAGGAAGUUUUGGUUUCAUUGUUUCUAGCUUUUAAUAUGUUCUUUGACUAUCCUCAUUUAUUUGAAAACCCAACAUGUAGUACAGCCUUCUGCUUUCUUGAAGACCAUGUCCAGCAACAUUAUUUUAACGUGGUAGUGGAAAAAUAAUUCAUCAAAGAGGUCUUUUGCUGCUUUGUGAUCCUCAUGCCAGAAAGGCCAUCACACAAAAAGCCUUCAGGCUCUAAAGGGAAACUGGAGAUAAGCAUGGAAGUAUUUAGGUCGGAGCAAGAUGCCUUGAAAGGAAAGAAAGAGACAUCUUGGAGAACUGAGUUCUGGAACAAUCUCUGAAUAACUUCCUACAAGAAUGACUUCAUGUAAUUUAUUGUAGCUGCAUGAAGUUAGGAUCUUCAGGUUUCACUUCUAUCAAACACUUGCAUACUGAAUGGUGCUAAGAAAUGACAAAUACCAACAUGACUGUACAGACAUACCACAAGGGAUUCAUUUAGGCAAACAAGGCAGUCUGAGAACACUUGGAAAACAAAAUUUCCAGUCUGUUCCAGUCAACAGUAAAAGUUCCUGCUGUGUCCUGCAACACUGGAGAAUUGAGGUUUUUAACCCAACAUGGAUCAGAGGGGUAGCUGUAGUCCUCCCUAUCACAGUCAGCACUGCCUUGGAGGAGAAGAGUAUGCAGGAAGAGAGGAUGUUUCACUGAGAAAAUGUCCUCAGAAGGAAUUUGCUUUCUAGGAAGAAGAAGAAGGAAAAAAAAAAUGUUUAAAAGGUAUUCUGAGUUUCCUAAGCUUCUGUUCCUUAUAGUUAUCUGGUACUGCCUGGUGGUCCCUAACCAUGAAUACUGCACACGCUCCUCCUUAAAGACAGUCCCAACCCCAAAAGUGCUAUUUGCCUAUCACAGUGAGGCAUUGUCAGCCACUUUCUGAAGUGAAAAAUGUGAUUCAUUCAGACUUUUGGGGAAAAAAUACUGUAAUUGAUGUCGGUGUUGAGUCUAGGACAGCACCCUUCACUCUCCUUCCACUCUGCAGCAAUGAUUUAAUGUGUGCAGGCAUCACAGUGACUUAUUGAGCUUCUUCACGUGUGUGAGACAUCAGUCAAGUUCAUGAGGGGCUGUAGUUAAUAAAAAAUUGGUUGUCAGUUUUUACA